AUUUUUCGUCACUACCUCCCCGUGCCGGGAGUGGGUAAUUUGCGCGCCUGCUGCCUUCCUUGGAUGUGGUAGCCGUUUCUCAGGCUCCCUCUCCGGAAUCGAACCCUGAUUCCCCGUUACCCGUUACAACCAUGGUAGGCGCAGAACCUACCAUCGACAGUUGAUAAGGCAGACAUUUGAAAGAUGCGUCGCCGGUGCGAGACCGUGCGAUCAGCAAAAAGUUAUUCAGAGUCACCAAAAAGUGCGACGAACAGUAACGCCGAAACGCUACUGCCGCCGAUUGGUUUUGAUCUAAUAAAAGCACUCCUUCCGUCUCCGGUCGGAGCUCUGUUUGCAUGUAUUAGCUCUAGAAUUACCACAGUUAUCCAAGUAAAUGUGGGUACGAUCUAAGGAACCAUAACUGAUUUAAUGAGCCUUUCGCGGUUUCACCUUAAUUUGGCUUGUACUGAGACAUGCAUGGCUUAAUCUUUGAGACAAGCAUAUGACUACUGGCAGGAUC
rnacentral:rRNA from 1 species